rnacentral:piRNA from 1 species
UACCUGGGACUAUAAUCUUAAAAUGGAUUC